rnacentral:rRNA from 1 species
UACGUAGGGUGCAGGCGUUAAUCGGAAUUACUGGGCGUAAAGCGUGCGCAGGCGGUCUGCUAAGAGAGAUGUGAAAUCCCCGGGCUUAACCUGGGAACUGCGUUUCUAACUGGCAGGCUUGAGUGUGGCAGAGGGGGGUGGAAUUCCACGUGUAGCAGUGAAAUGCGUAGAGAUGUGGAGGAACACCGAUGGCGAAGGCAGCCCCCUGGGCUAACACUGACGCACAUGCACGAAAGCGUGGGGAGCAAACAGG